CCGGGCUGCGCUCGCGUCCGCUCAGCCGGCCGCCCCGGUGCCCCGCGUGCGUCGCUCUUCUGUCCGGUGUCCGACGCUGCCCUUGGUGUUUCCCUUCCGCACAAGCAGCAGGUAACAGUCAACGCGGAGACCGCGGGCCCGAGCUGGCCGAUCGCCCGCCAAACAUCACGUCCAGAGACGGGGCCUCUUCCAGCAGCUGCGUCUGGCCAGGCACAAACUGAAAGCCGAGCCCAGGUCUGCGUUCGGGUCACCCUUGGCUUUGACAGAAAACGCGUGUCAUAUUUCGCUCAUGGCCUCACGCCUGAAAGCGAUGUCAGCUUCUGAGAAAAUACAGCCCCUGUGCAAGGGAACGUUACGAUCCCUCGCGAAAUAAAGCCUUUUCCUUCUGUUGAA